AUGAAUGUUAUCCCUUGGUCCAACCCACUUUCAGCCUGGCGCAUUAGGGGGCGCUAGUAUAAAUAGUGGCCAUUUGAGUGUCCCUGGAUCGCUUACCUGUGACCUCCUUUUUGGUCACCUGACUUCCUGUUGGUGUUGCUGAGAUUAGUUGCGGGUUACUUUUCUGAAGCCUCCAUCGCAGCUGAUGCGGAGUGCUGACGUGGAGGAGACUAGGGUGCCUUGGUGGUGGGAUCCUCUGAGUGUACACACCUGCCUUGUUUAAUUUAUUAGUG